rnacentral:rRNA from 1 species
AUUGAACGCUGGCGGUAGGCCUAACACAUGCAAGUCGAGCGGAUGAAGGGAGCUUGCUCCUGGAUUCAGCGGCGGACGGGUGGGUAAUGCCUAGGAAUCUGCCUGUUAGUGGGGGAUAACGUCCGGAAACGGGCGCUAAUACCGCAUACGUCCUGAGGGAGUAAGUGGGGGAUCUUCGGACCUCACGCUCUCAGAUGAGCCUAGGUCGGAUUAGCUAGUUGGUGGGGUAAAGGCCUACCAAGGCGACGAUCCGUAACUGGUCUGAGAGGAUGAUCAGUCACACUGGAACUGAGACACGGUCCAGACUCCUACGGGAGGCAGCAGUGGGGAAUAUUGGACAAUGGGCGAAAGCCUGAUCCAGCCAUGCCGCGUGUGUGAAGAAGGUCUUCGGAUUGUAAAGCACUUUAAGUUGGGAAGAAGAGCAGUAAGUUAAUACCUUGCUGUUUUGACGGUACCAACAGAAUAAGCACCGGCUAACUUCGUG